rnacentral:sRNA from 1 species
AACCAUUUUAGAAGAUGCCAGAAGACAAAUUGCUCAGGGAGAGGAUGAAGACAGAGCUAUUGAAUAUUUGAAUGAAGUUGGAGGAAAUAUAGGUGAGCGUUGCCUUGACCCUGAAGCUAAAGUCUUGGAAGUGUAUCGUGUUAAUCCCACAGCUGAAUGGAUGAUCAAAACCAAGAAAGAGAGAUAAGUAUUUACAAAAACAGGAAUCGGUCUGUUAAGUGAGCUAAUUUUUGUUUUCAAAUAGAAAAUUGAUUAAAGGAAAGGAGAAACAUGUCUUAGUUAUAUUCAUGCUAUUUUAUAUAUAAACUGUUCUGCUUAUGAUUACAUUACAAACAAACAGUAGAGAACCAUUGAAUUAAAUUUGUAUGAAUUACAUUCAUUUGAUUAUACCAAAUUCUGUAAAUUUUUUUAAUCUGUAGUCUAUAGCAAUGUUGUGUAAAAAUGCAUCUAUUAAUUGGUUUGAAAACCUUUUACCAUCAGAGACAGAUUUACAAGAAAAUAUUUGUUUUGUGACAUCAUAGUUGACUAAUGUAGACUAAAUGCUUAUGUGGAUCUAGCCUAUUCUCUUAUUACUAAUACAAUAUUAUUUGACUAUUACUAUUGCAACAUUUACAUCAUUUAUAUCUAGGCCUACUACAAACAGAAUUAGAAGGUUGUGAAAUAUAGAUAUUGUAUCAAUAAAUGAGAAAUAAAUACUGUAAUGUU